rnacentral:misc_RNA from 1 species
GAUGAAGAACGUAGCGAAAUGCGAUAAGUAGUGUGAAUUGCAGAAUUCAGUGAAUCAUCGAAUCUUUGAACGCACAUUGCGCCCCUUGGUAUUCCAUGGGGCAUGCCUGUUCGAGCGUCAUUUGUACCUUCAAGCUUUGCUUGGUGUUGGGUGUUUGUCCUGAGGGACUCGCCUUAAAGUAAUUGGCAGCCAGUGUUUGGUUUUGAAGCGCAGCACAAGUCGCGAUUCAAGGCUAUACACCAGCUUCCACAAGCCCUUUUCACUUUUGACCUCGGAUCAGGUAGGGAUACCCGCUGAACUUAAGCAUAUCAAUAAGCGGAGGA